rnacentral:lncRNA from 1 species
UUCAACCUUUUCUGAACCUCCAUUUCUUCACUGUAAAAUUACGUGUUGGGCUGUAGGAUCUAUCUCAAUCCCUUCCACCAUCUGCAAUUCUAGAUAGAUACACAUUUCCCAAAACUCACUUGGCCAAAUUUUACAAAAUGAAAAAACGAAAAAACAAAAGAAAGAAAAGUAAAGAUGAAAAAGAAUCAAACAGAUAGUUCCAGGCUUCCUUCCUUUUGCUAUUCUUUGAAUUCUGUGACUAUCAUUUUUCUCCUUGUCAUUAGUGGGAAGGAUAGAAGAUUCAAAAAAAAGAGGACACAAAUGGAAAGCAGAGGCACAGGACGGGAAGAAGCAGACAGGAAGAGCCAAAUAGUGCGGUGACAGAAGCAACAACCCCCGGGCCUGCUGUUCCCCUCUUCUGCCAGUAGCCCUGUGAACUGUGGCAAAGCACAACCAGGUAUGAAAAAUGAAGAGAGAGAAAUCAAAUGACAACGACUCAACCGCUGCUGCUUUCUAAGGAUGUAAUCAUUAACCUCUCCAAGGAGGAUUCCAGGCUCAAGCCAGACGGAGGAGAGGUGAGACAACGCAACAAGGAUCAGGAGGAGGUGGGGAGAUGCAUCCCCAAAGGACCCGGCCCUGAAGACAGACCCAAGACGCCACGCUAUGCGCAGGGGAGGCAAAGGAACCCUGUGCACGCUGCUGCGAAGGGGCAUCUGUUCCCACAGAGGAAAAGGAGCUGGCUUUUCAAGACGGCCAAUCUGCUCCCACCACCCACACAAAUCUCCUUAAGAAAGUGGAAGCCAAACGCAGAGAGAGGAUUAAUCCUACCUCAACAGCCGCACGCCUACAUAUUUUUUUCCUGGCCCUUUGCUGUGGUACAAAGACAUCCACACUCAAAGGUCGAUUAGCAAAUCAGCUUCCUAAAUGGCAUCUUGCUUGAUAAGUUUAAAUCACAAAACCACUGUUUUCAAAUGCCUGCGUGGCAGGGAACACACAGGAACUGUGAAGGGUAAUGGCUGUGCUAUUCAGUGGAGGAAAAUAAUGCGGUGCUUUAUCACUGCUCCAGAAUCAGUCAUUUGACAGCACAAAGAAAAAAAUUAACUGAGAUAAAAUUCCCUUUUGGGGAUGUAAUUAUGAUUAUUCUAAAGCAAUCAUUAUGCGUCUUACGUAUUGGGAAAUUGCUCCCAAAAUAUGACCUGUUUGGAGAUAGAAAGUGACUUCAAUGUAAUUCUCUUAAAGGAUUUUGAUUCUUUAUCUCAAAUUCAAUUGCAUUUGAAGAAAUCAAAAGAAAUGUACCAGUUUUGAGGAUUAGAAUUACGGUUUUUGAUUGCCUUGUAAAAAAUAAAGGACAUUAUGUAGGUGGACUGAUUGGCUAA